ACUCCUACGGGUGGCUGCAGUCGAGAAUCUUUCGCAAUGGACGAAAGUCUGACGAAGCGACGCCGCGUGUGUGAUGAAGGCCUUAGGGUUGUAAAGCACUUUCGCCUGGGAAUAAGAGAGAUUGGCUAAUAUCCAAUCGAUUUGAGCGUACCAGGUAAAGAAGCACCGGCUAACUCCGUGCCAGCAGCUGCGGUAAUACGGAGGGUGCUAGCGUUAAUCGGAUUUAUUGGGCGUAAAGGGCGUGUAGGCGGAAAGGAAAGUUAGAUGUUAAAUUUUGGGGCUCAACCCCAAGUCAGCAUUUAAAACUAUCUUUCUAGAGGAUAGAUGGGGAAAAGGGAAUUCCACGUGUAGCGGUGAAAUGCGUAGAUAUGUGGAAGAACACCAGUGGCGAAGGCGCUUUUCUAAUUUAUACCUGACGCUAAGGCGCGAAAGCAAGGGGAGCAAACAGGAUUAGAUACCCUGGUAGUCCUUGCCGUAAACGAUGCAUACUUGAUGUGGAUGGUCUCAACCCCAUCCGUGUCGGAGCUAACGUGUUAAGUAUGCCGCCUGAGGAGUACACUCGCAAGGGUGAAACUCAAAAGAAUUGACGGGGGCCCGCACAAGCAGUGGAGCAUGUGGUUUAAUUCGAUGCAACGCGAAGGACCUUACCUGGACUUGACAUGUAUUUGACAACUGUAGAAAUACAGCUUUCCGCAAGGACAGAUACACAGGUGGUGCAUGGAUGUCGUCAGCUCG
rnacentral:rRNA from 1 species